rnacentral:rRNA from 1 species
CCUACGGGCGGCAGCAGUGAGGAAUAUUGGUCAAUGGACGAGAGUCUAAACCAGCCAAGUAGCGUGAAGGAUGACUGCCCUAUGGGUUGUAAACUUCUUUUAUAUGGGAAUAAAACGUUCCACGUGUGGGAUUUUGUAUGUACCAUAUGAAUAAUGAUCAGCUAACUCCGUGCCAGCAGCCGCGGUAAUACGGAGGAUCCGAGCGUUAUCCGGAUUUAUUGGGUUUAAAGGGAGCGUAGGUGGAUUGUUAAGUCAGUUGUGAAAGUUUGCGGCUCAACCGUAAAAUUGCAGUUGAAACUGGCAGUCUUGAGUACAGUAGAGGUGGGCGGAAUUCGGGGUGUAGCGGUGAAAUGCUUAGAUAUCACGAAGAACUCCGAUUGCGAAGGCAGUUCACUGGACUGCAACUGACACUGAGGCUCGAAAGUGUGGGUAUCAAACAGGAUUAGAUACCCCUGUAGUC